AUGGCGUCUAGCGAGGGAAAUUACCACCGUAGAGGUCCUUACUUUGAUGGUACUAAUUUUGCUAGUUGGAAGCAUAAGAUGAAAAUGCAUAUUCUUGGACAUAACCCCGCCGUUUGGGUUAUUAUGUGUAUUGGCUUGCAAGGUGAAUUCUUUGAUGGGAGAGAACCGAACCGUGAAGCUACCGCGGAAGAGUUGAAGAUGUUGCAAUACAAUGCUCAAGCUUGUGAUAUCCUCUUCAAGGAUUGUGCCCGGAAGAAUUCAACAAAAUCAGCCGUCUUGAGAAUGCAAAGGAAAUUUGGGAUACCUUGA
rnacentral:rRNA from 1 species